AUACCUUUGAUGGAACAAACAAAGUAUGAAAUCAUUUAUUACAUGUAUAUCAUAUCUUAGUAAUAAUAACUUACGUGCAAAGAAUACAUAAUAUAGAAAUCCUGCUAGCGUUAGUUAAGGUGAUAUAUAACUGGUGACCUAUAUAAAUGGUGAUCAUAAUGAUGGUCAUCAUCUUCAUCAGGAUCAUCAUCAUCAUCAUAUGAUGAUAUUGGUGAUGAUGAUGUUGAUGAUAAGGCAAAAUGAUUGUAUGAGAAAAAGGGAUAGUUGAGAUUGUGUUAUUAGAAAUAGAGAUAAAUUUACACUGAUGAUAAUAGUGAUGAUGAUUAUCAUUAUCAUAAUGAUCAGCAUCAUCAUUAUUAUCGUGUGAUGAUAUUGGUGAUUAUUAUGUUGAUGAUAAGGCAAAAUGAUUGUAUGAGAAAAAGGGAUAGUUGAGAUUGUGUUAUUAGAAAUAGAGAUAAAUUUACACUGAUGAUAAUAGUGAUGAUGAUUAUCAUCAUCAUAAUGAUCAGCAUCAUCAUUAUUAUCAUGUGAUGAUAUUGGUGAUUAUUAUGUUGAUGAUAAGGCAAAAUGAUUGUAUCGGAUGAAAAGGAUAGUUGAGAUGGUGUUAUUCAAUAAGAAAUAGAGAUAUGGUUAGACAUUAUUGUAACAGUGCUGAUUAUUUAGGAGAUGAUAUGGUAAUGUUAAAAGAAGAUUAGAGAAAUAGUGAUUAUGCAAUAUGAUGGUAAGAUGAAAAGGGAUAGUUGAAUUGAUAUAACAGUGUAUUAUAAAGGAUAUCAUGGUAAUAUCAUAGAUAUUGUUGUUGCUGCUGCUGAUGAUGAUAAUGAGUAGGAGGAGGUGGUGUUGGUCAGGACGACAACGACGAUGAUGAUGAUGGUGAUAUAUCGGUGAUGAUGAGGAUUAUAAUGAAUUUAUUAUUAUGAUGCAGCUUGAUGGUUAGAGAAAAAGAGGUAUAUGACAUGAUGAUAAUAUUUGAUAUUGAUAUAAUGGUGUAAUCAGAAUAGAUAUCAUGGUAUGGAAGAUUACGGAAAAUUUGUUGUUGUUGUUGUGGUCAUUGUCGUUGUUGAUGAUGAUGAUGACGACAAUGACGAUGCAUGAUGAUGGCUAGAGAAAAGGGGUAUUUGAAAAGAUGGUGUAAAUAAUUGAGGAUGAUAUUAAUUAUUGAUUUAAUGGUGUUAUGCAUAAAAGAUCUAUUACUAAAAUAAAAUAAUGAUUAUCAUAAGAAUUAUGGUAUUCAUUUGAAGGCCUUCAGUAGAUAUCAGUGUGACGGUGAUUCGAUAGGUAGUGUUUGUUUGAGACUCAAGAAAGAUGAUAUAGUAGUGUCCGCCAACUAGAAAUUACAUAUACUUGUAUCAUAAGUGUUCCAUCCCGAAGCUUCUUCCAAAUUGUUUAGCUUUUGUGUGUGUUUGGUAGUAUAGCUGUAAGCUAGGCAAAACAUACAGCAAGCAGGAGUUUUUCUUACGGUUUCAUGCCCUGAUAUAUCCCCUGGUCUGUUGAUCGAGGCUUACUUUCGAUGGAAUUCCGAGGAGUCUGGCAACUUAAUAUCCGCAAGGACUCGAAUCGUUUGCGAGUGGCUGUCUUCAAUCUGAGCCAGCAGAAUGGAACAUGGCAGUUAUUCCUUAGUUUAGAGAUACGGGAACUGGGUGGAUCAUAGUAUGGAAGUGGCCUGAGAGGAGAAACCUGCAUUUGGUCGACACUGGAGGAUGGAUACCCUUGAUGGAACAAACAAAGUAUGAAAUCAUUUAUUACAUGUAUAUCAUAUCUUAGUAAUAGUAACUUACAUGCAAAGAAUACAUAAUAUAGAAAUCCUGCUAGCGUUAAUUAAGGUGAUAUAUAACUGGUGAUCUAUAUGAAUGGUGAUCAUAAUGAUGGUCAUCAUCUUCAUCAGGAUCAUCAUCAUCAUAUGAUGAUAUUGGUGAUGAUGAUGUUGAUGAUAAGGCAAAAUGAUUGUAUGAGAAAAAGGGAUGGUUGAGAUUGUGUUAUUAGCAAUAGAGAUAAAUUUACACUGAUGAUAAUAGUGAUGAUGAUUAUCAUCAUCAUAAUGAUCAGCAUCAUCAUUAUUAUCAUGUGAUGAUAUUGGUGAUUAUUAUGUUGAUGAUAAGGCAAAAUGAUUGUAUGAGAAAAAGGGAUAGUUGAGAUUGUGUUAUUAGAAAUAGAGAUAAAUUUACACUGAUGAUAAUAGUGAUGAUGAUUAUCAUCAUCAUAAUGAUCAGCAUCAUCAUUAUUAUCAUGUGAUGAUAUUGGUGAUUAUUAUGUUGAUGAUAAGGCAAAAUAAUUGUAUGAGAAAAAGGGAUAGUUGAGAUUGUGUUAUUAGAAAUAGAGAUAAUGUUACACUGAUGAUAAUGAGGAGGAGUAGGAGGUGGUUGGAGGAAACUGAUGAUGAUGGUGAUGAUGAUUAUUAUCAUCAUCAUCAUCAUCAUCAUUAUUAUCAUGUGAUGAUGUUGGUGAUUAUUAUGUUGAUGAUAAGGCAAAAUGAUUGUAUCGGACGAAAAGGAUAGUUGAGAUGGUGUUAUUCAAUAAGAAAUAGAGAUAUGGUUAGACAUUAUUGUAACAGUGCUGAUUAUUUAGGAGAUGAUAUGGUAAUGUUAAAAGAAGAUUAGAGAAAUAGUGAUUAUGCAAUAUGAUGGUAAGAUGAAAAGGGAUAGUUGAAUUGAUAUAACAGUGUAUUAUAAAGGAUAUCAUGGUAAUAUCAUAGAUAUUGUUGUUGCUGCUGCUGAUGAUGAUAAUGAGUAGGAGGAGGUGGUGUUGGUCAGGACGACAACAACGAUGAUGAUGAUGGUGAUAUAUCGGUGAUGAUGAGGAUUAUAAUGAAUUUAUUAUUAUGAUGCAGCUUGAUGGUUAGAGAAAAAGAGGUAUAUGACAUGAUGAUAAUAUUUGAUAUUGAUAUAAUGGUGUAAUCAGAAUAGAUAUCAUGGUAUGGAAGAUUACGGAAAAUUUGUUGUUGUUGUUGUUGUGGUCAUUGUCAUGUUGAUGAUGAUGAUGACGAAGAUGACAAUGAUGAUGGCUAGAGAAAAGGGGUAUUUGAAAAGAUGGUGUAAAUAAUUGAGGAUGAUAUUAAUUAUUGAUUUAAUGGUGUUAUGCAUAAUAGAUCUAUUACUAAAAUAAAAUAAUGAUUAUCAUAAGAAUUAUGGUAUUCAUUUGAAGGCCUUCAGUAGAUAUCAGUGUGACGGUGAUUCGAUAGGUAAUGUUUGUUUGAGACUCAAGAAAGAUGAUAUAGUAGUGUCCGCCAACUAGAAAUUACAUAUACUUGGAUUAUAAGUGUUCCAUCCUGAAGCUUCUUCCAGAUUGUUUAGCUUUUGUGUGUGUUUGGUAGUAUAGCUGUAAGCUAGGCAAAACUUACAGCAAGCAGGAGUUUUUCUUACGGUUUCAUGCCCUGAUAUAUCCCCUGGUCUGUUGAUCGAGGCUUACUUUGGAUGGAAUUCCGAGGAGUCUGGCAACUUAAUAUCUGCAAGGACUCGAAUCGUUUGCGAGUGGCUGUCAUCAAUCUGAGCCAGCAGAAUGGAACAUGGCAGUUAUUCCCGAGUUUAGAGAUAUGGCAACUGGAGGAUCAUUGACUGGAAGUGGCCCGAGUGGAGAAACCUGCAUUUGGUCGACACUGGAGGAUGGAUACCUUUGAUUAUAACAUAAUCUGUUAUAAGGAAUACAUUUUCCAAUACAUGAUUAGAGAGUCAAAAGCCAAACAGAUGAAGAAUGUGCUCACACAGAGGAAACAAUGCUAUCUGACCCGCCUUAACGUCGAUGAAAACAUGUACUUGAACUUUUUUCUCAAUUGAUUAGAGAUAGUUGUGUAGUUUGGGAUCAGAUUUAUCAGACAUAUUGCUUGUAGGACAUUGACGGCAGAAACUUGAAAUUUAGUGUGGAGUGCUACCUAAACAUACUGCAAGGUGUGGAAAAGGUGGUCUUCUUUGAAUCUUGCUACACAAAGGUUAAGGUCCUUUUUUUGGUACCAAAAAGAGGGUACCUCAGCAGUUAAACAGAAGGAAAAUUAGAUAUCCAGAAUUUACAACAGACUAGGUAGAAAAAAUAUCAGACAAUUCUUGACUUUCAAACAGCUCAGAUGUUACUGUAGAAUGCUCCAUGGAGGACUGUUUGAUUACCCUUUACCAGAAGAAGAUGUCAAUCAUGUCAACCUUGGACAGACAGCUCACUAAAUACUGUAGAGUGAUGAUAGAUGGACACUAUUUAGUUGAACCAUAAAAAAAGGGAAACCAAUCCUAGCAGAUACAGAUCUGAUAAGAUGACAGAAACUACAUAUAUACAUGGCAGUCAUAGGAAACAUACUUCAAACUAUGGAUGUGUAAUAGAAGAACAGACAUUAUGCAUAUAUUAUCACUUGGAAGGAAUGUGUCAAUCACCAACUUUAUAUUGUGUUGUGAACAUAUCAUUAACCUGCUGAAUUUCUUAAACUUUUUCCUAUGAUAUUUUCAAUAAACCAGUUUUCAUUCUAGUUUAGUUAGGGGGAGAGUUAUGUGAAGAGUUGAAGAGGAAAGUAGAGUGAUGGGUUAAGGGGAGAGCUGAGGUUAUGGGGAGUUGAGUUUACGGGGAGAGUUGAGUUGACAUUACGGGGAGAGUUGAGUUGAGAUUAAGGGGUAAGUUAAGUUGAGAUUAUUAGAAGAGUUGAGUUGAGUUAACGGGGAGAGUUAAGUUGAGAUUACGGGGAGAGUUGAGUUUAGAUUACGGGGAAAGUUGAGUUUACUUUAUGGAGAGAGUUGACUUAAGUGGAGAUAACGGAGAGUUGAGUUGAGAUUACGGGGAGAGUUAAGUUUAGAUUAUGGGGAGA